GAUUUGGUUGUUCAGCCUGUCCCCCGGCCUUCUCAGUGUUCGGAGUUUAUUCAGCAAAGCUCCAUGAAAUCUCCUUUGUACCUAGUAUCCGGUUCACUGCCCUCAAGUUCGCAAUUAAAAGGAUCGCCUCAGGCCAUCUCCAGGGCUUCAGAAUUACAUUUGCUUGAAACUCCUCUUGUAGUUAAGAAAGCUAAAAGUUUGGCCAUGUCAGUUACUACUUCUGGAUUUUCUGAGUUCACUCCUCAGUCCAUCCUGAGGUCUACUCUUCGAUCAACACCUUUAGCAUCUCCCUCUCCAUCACCUGGAAGGUCUCCUCAACGACUUAAAGAAACUAGAAUUUCAUUUGUGGAAGAAGAUGUCCACCCAAAAUGGAUUCCUGGGGU
rnacentral:lncRNA from 1 species